GAUCGCAAUGACGACUUGCAAAAUUCAAGCUCAACAGACCGGAAUGCAGGCUUAUCUCUUUACACAGAUCUGUUUGCGUGUCGAUAUUCCCGCUGAACUGAGCGAUCUUCUCUUUUCAUUUUUUCAAUCCAUCGAUUUUCAAUAUUUUAUUAUCUUAAUUAAUUAGUUUUAAUUGUUUUAUUUGGUUGAUGUUUGUGGGAAUUGCGAUGAGGAUACAAAGCUCCCUCUUCUGAAUUAGACUGAGGAAACUCUGCUGGCAGAAUCGAACCAACUUUAAAAUCAUGCCAUCUGAGCAAUUUCUUCCCCACAUCCAUCAAUAGUUUUUAUUAUUAAUGUUUUGUUACUCCGAUAGAUUGCAGUGAUGACCUCAGAAAAAUUCAAGCUCAACAGACCGGAAUGCAGGAUUCUUAACUGAGUUUUGCGUGUCGAUAACCCGCUCACUGAGCAGUCUUUCUUUCUUUCAUUCUUUUUUUUUUUUUUUUUUUUUUGUAAGAUUUUGUUAGUCUGUCAUCAAAUGAUUAUAAAUUAAUUUAAUCUUAGGACACCAUUGGACACAACUUAUAGUUGUGGGUGAGAAUACUCUUAUUUAUGAUGAUGAC
rnacentral:lncRNA from 1 species